GGAAAUGUGCCUGGACCUCUCUCAUCCAUCUGGAUCUGCUUGUUUUCUGUUCCCUACCGUGAGAAGCAGUGAAGUGGCUCCUGCAGAGACAUCUCCCAAGGUUGUUCUUGACAAACAAGUACAACACUGCUUUGCACCUAGAAACCUGCCAAGAAGCUGUGUCAGACACAAGCAGCACCAAAAGGCCAGAGGUGUCCUGCAUUUGAGAAAUUUCUCAUUCUGUACCCACCUGACCAGUGCUGAAAGCUGUGGAAAUCUGUCUAACAACACGUGCUGAUAUUGGGAACAAAGUGCUAUCAGUCUGAAACCCGGUCACAUACUUGAAGGCAUGAGUAAGAAAAC
ensembl:lncRNA